rnacentral:tRNA from 1 species
UGGAUAUUAGUUAAUUUAUAACAUUUAAUUUGCAAUUAAAAAUUAUAUUUACUUCAGUCUUACAAUAUAUAUCUUA